CCCCCCCCCCCCCCACAGUCCCCGCCUGCCCGCCCUGCCCCAAGUGUGACCUGGCCAAGCUAAGAGGCUGCUGAGGCUGCUGCAGUUGUUGCCACUGCUACUGCUGCUGCUACCGCCAUCUACCACAACCCAUUGGGAUCAAAAGGAUCUCCAGAAAAAUCCCAAAGGGUAAAUCCUGCUCUCCAGCUUGGCUCUCUUUUCUGCUCUGGGCUCUUUUUCCCCCUCCCUCUCUUGCUUUCUGUUGUUGCAAAACUUGAAAAAUUCCACCCUCUGGGCCUUGCUAGAGCUAAAGAAAUAUUAUAAUCUCAAUGCACUUUUUCGGGUUAUGAGUAAUAAAAUACCCAAACUGAUUUUUUCAUUGGGUUUGACAGCAAACUUGAGCUGGGAGAAAAAUCAAUGAACUUAAAAACAAGUCAUUUGAUAUUAUAUUCUUAGAAGCAAAAAGAAAAAGGAAUGAAAAAAAAACUGAACAGAGAGCAUAAAAGACUUAUGAAACACCAUCAAGCAGGUCACUAGAUGCAUUAUAAGCAUCAAGAAGAAGGAGGGACAGAGAAAGGAAGAAAUAUUGUCUAAAAUCUUCACAAAUUUAAGAAAAGGCAUGGCCCUGUAAAUCCAAGGGCUCAGUAAAGUGCAUGUUAAACCCUAAGACACAUUAUUAUCAAAGCUUCAAAAGACAAAGAGAGAAUCCAAAAGUAGCAAGAGAAAAGCAACUCAUUACAUACAAAGGACUCCUAAUAAUUUUUAUCAGUGGAUUUCUCCAAUAAUAAGAAGAAAUCUUGCAAGCCAGAGACAAUGGGAUAAUAUAUUUGAUGUACCAGAAGAAAAACUGUUAACUAAGAAUUCUGUACCUGGAAAAACUGUCUUUCAAAAAUGAGGAAGAAAUUAAAACAUUGUCAGAUAUACAAAAGUGGAGGAAGUUCAUUACCAUUUUAUCUUUCCUAUAAGAAAUUAUAAAGGCAGCCUGUUAGGUAGAAAUAUAAAAGGGUGCUAGGCAGUAACAUGAAAUAAAAAUGUAAAGUUGUCCAGUAAAAGUAAUAAUUAUGUGGACAAAUAUAUAAAUCAGCCUUUUUGUUAUUUUAGUUUGUAACUCCACUUUUUAAAAUCUUCCAUAGGAUUUGAAACAUAAAAUGCAUACAUACACUUAUAAAUCUAUGUUAAUAACUACACAAUAUAUAAAGAUGUAAUUUGUGAUACCCAUAACUUAAAAUUUGGGAAUAAAGCUAGAAAAUGAAAGUGUUAUGUGUAAUUAAGUUAGUACCAGUUUAAAAUAAUUUUCUGCAAUCUUAGGAUGUUAUAUUUAAUCUCCAUGAUAACAGCAAAGAAAAUAUCUAUUAAAACACACACACACACACACACGGAGAAUGAAACCCAAACAUGUCACUGCAAAAACAAUAAACAUAAAAGAUAAUGGAACUGGAAGAAAAGAGUGAUAAAAAAGCUAUAACCAAUACAGAAAACAUUUUUAAAGGCAAUAGUAAGUCCUUCCCUAUCAAUAUUUUAAUUGUAAAUGAAUUAAAUUCUCCAAAUAAAGACAGACAUUGGCAGAAUGAGGAAAAAAAAUUGAUCCAACAAUAUGCUGUCUACAAGAGACAUAUUUUAGAUUUAAGGACAAGAAUAGGUUGAAAGAGAAAGGACAUAAAAAGAUAUUCUAUACAAGUAGCAACAAUAAUGGAGUAGGGGUAGUAUACUAAUAUCAGACAAAAUAGACCAUAAUCCAAAUAUUAAUAAGAUACAAAGGAUAUCAUAUAAUGAUUAAAUUGUGAAUUUUCCGAAAGAUAUGACAAUUAUGAAUAUAUAUGCAUCAAACAUUAAUGCUCCAAUAUAUAUGAACAUUAACUUAACUAAAAGGAGAAAUGACUAUUGUGCAAUAACACCCAAACAAACAAACAGAAUAUACAUUUUUCUCAAUUGCAUAAGGAACAUUCUUUAGGACAAACCAUAUGUGAGGCUGCAAAACAUUCCCUGAAACUUUUUUUAAAAAGACUGAAAAUAUGGAAAGUAUCUUUUCUGAUCAAAAUGGAAUGCAACUAAGAGUUGACAUUAGAAAUACUGGAAAUCGGGACUGGGGAUGUGGUUCAAGCAGUAGCGUGCUCGCCUGGCAUGCGAGGGGCGCUGGGUUGUAUCCUCAGUACCACUUAAAAAUAAAAUAAAGAUGUUGUGUCCACUGAAAACUAAAAAAUAAAUAUUAAAAAUUUCUCUCUCUCUCUCUCUCUCAAUAAAAAAAGAAAAGAAAUACUGGAAAUCUACAAAAAUGUAGAAAUUAAAUAGUAUAUGAUAUAACAACCAAUAAGUCAUAGACAAAAAAGUUAGAAAAUGUAUUGGGACAAUGAAAAUACAACAUAGAAAAACUUAACAGGAUGAGGCGAAAACAGUUUUGAGAGAAACUUGUAGCUAUCAACAGUAAAUUUUUAAAAGGAGGGACAAUAGCAAAUCAGUAACAUAGCUUUACAACUUAAGGAAUUGUAAGAUAAACAUAAGCCCAAAGGCAGCAAAAGGAAAAAAAAAUAAAGAUGAAAGUGGAAAUAAAUAAAAUAUAUCAAAAAAGAAAGAGAGAGAAAUCAAUAACCAAGAGUCAAUUCUUGAAAAAGAUAAAUUAAAAAAUAUUAACAAAUCUUUAGGUAAAUUUACUGAGAGAAAUAUAGAAGACAUAAAUAACUAAACCUGGAAAUACAAAGAAGAAAUUAUUACUGAUUUCAGAGAAAUAAGAAGGAUCACAAGAGAGUAUUAUAAACAAUCAUACACCAAAAAUUGGAUAAACUAGAUAAUAUGGACAAAAACAUAGAAUUAUAAAAACUAACAAGACUGAAACAUGAAGAAGCAGAAAUAGCUGAGUAGACCUAAAACAGUAAGGACAUGAAUCAGUAACUGAAAAUCUCUCAACAACAACAACAAAAACCUUCUGGACUAGAUCACUUUACUGGUGAAUUACAACCAAGUGUUUAAAGAAUUAACACCAAUCCUUCACAAAUAAUUUCAAAAAUUUUAACAAGAAAGAACAUUUACUAAAUCAUUGGUGAAGCCUGCAUUACCAUUAGCAUAACACCAAAGCCAAAUACACACAUACACACACACACACCAAAAAAGAAGGAGGAGGAGGAGGAAGGAGGAGGAGGAAGGAGGAGGAGGAGGAGGUGGAGGAGGAGGAGGAGGAGAAGGAGAGGAAGAAGAAGAGGAAGAAAGAAAAGGAAGAAAAUGGCAAACCAAUAUCCCAAUGGACACUGUUGCAAAAAUCCUCAAUGAAACAGUAGGAGCCUGAUUUUUAAAAGCAUAUUAAAAUUACCAUAUGCCAUAGGUGAUAUGCUUCUGAUAUACAAGGAUAGUUCAACAUAUGAAAAUCAACCAAUGAAAAACAUCAUAUUAACAGAAUAAAGAAAAAAUAAACACAUGGUCAUUUAAAUUGAUGCAAUGGUAUUUGACUCAGCCAUACAGAAUUAAAUUGAAUCAUUUGCUGGUAAAUGGAUGGAACAGAGAACAUCAUGAUAAGUGAAAUAAGGCAGACUCAGAAAGCCAAGGGUCAAAUGUAUUUUAUCCUAGAUGCAGAAGCUAAAGAGAUAUAAGGAAGUAAAAAGGGGGAGGGAGGAGAUCUCAUGAAAAAAAAAAAGAGAGAACACUAGAAUGAAGGUUGGGAAUCCAGGGGGAGGAAGGAAGGAUGGGAAAGGGGAGGAAGUGUAGAAUAAAAUUGAUCAAACUAUGCUAUAGGCAUGUGUGAACAUUUAAAAAUAAAUUCCAUUUUUUGUAUGUCUAUACUGCAACAAUUUAAAAACAAUAAAUUAAUGGAAGAAAUAUCCAUAGAAUAGAGGAAGGGGUUGGUGGAGGGAGGAGGGAAAGGAAAGGGAAAUGCUAGGAAUUGAAAUGGAGUAAAUUAUACUGUGUACAUGUAUGGAUGUGUCAAAAUGAACCAUUAAAUACAACUAAUAUUUUAAAAAUUGAUACAGAAAAAGCAUUUGAAAAAGUUCAAAGCUGUCUCAAAAAAAAAAAAAAAACACUCUACAGACUACACACAGAUGAAAAUUACCUCAACAUAAUAAAGGCAUAUGUGAAAGGCCCAUAGCUUUCAUCAUACUGGGUGGAAAUACUGAAAAAUUCUCCCGUAAUAGGAAGAGAACUACAACGAUACCCACUUUCACUGCUGCUUAACAUAUUACUGGACACACCAAUCAGGCAAAAUCAAACAAACAAACAAAUAAAUAAAUAAAAGGCUGGAAAGAAAUAAAAUUACCACUAUUUAUGUAUAACUUUUUUAUAUGUAGAAAACCCUAAAGCGCGCACCACGCGCGCAUGCAUGUCCGAGCUAUUCCAUCCCCAACACAAAAAUGUGUGUUUAUGUGUGUGUGUGUGUGGGGGGGGGGGGGGGGUUGCGGGGGGAUGUCAGAAUGACUUGAGCAAAGUUUCAGGAAAUAAAACCAGCAAGCAAAAAUCAGUUACAUUGGUUCCCUGCCUGGCCUCCGCCUCUUCCUUGGCCUCCACCUCCCUCUGCUGGGCGAUUGCCGCAACUGCUCCUCCCUGGCCUUGUGAGUGGUUGCUGAGGAGCUGUGGCCACUACCCAAACUGGUUGCACAGGAGGCUGGAUCUUAAAGAAAUAAACCAGAAUGAGUUAUGCAGAAAAGCCUGAUGAAAUCAGGAAAGAUGAGUGGAUGGAAACGCUCAGCAACCGACACGCCCAGUGGGCAGGCAUGAACCGCCUUAUCAUUAACUAUUUGGUCAAAGAAGGCUUUAAAGAAGCAGCAGAGAACUGUCCCAUGGAACCUGGAAUUGAACCCAGCAUGGAUCCGGAUACUCUUGAUGAGAGAAGCAAGAUUCAGGAGAUGAUUCUGAAGGCUUAGAUUUUGGAGGCCACCGUAUUAACAGUCCCUGUCCGGAGCUCUUGGACACAAACCGGUAACUUUACUUUCAUCUGCAGCAACAGAAUGUAUGUAAUUGAGCUGAUCCCCCAGCAACAGAUCUAGGCGGUGCUAGAGGAGGAGAGCAGGGCUAAGAGGGCAGAGUGCCUCAAAGAGAUGGAGCACAUGCUGGCCCUGCUGGCCCUCUAUAGCCCUGAGGAGUCAGGCUUCGGAGGCCUCCUUCACAGGAUGCAAAAGCAAAAGGUUUAGAGUGAGGUUAACCAAGCCAUUCUACAUUAUGAAAAUCGCGAGUCAACACCCAAGAUGACAAAAUUACAGAAACUUGUUAUUUUAGGCUCAGAACGUGCUGGACCAGAAGAAAGUAAAAUAUCCCAAAAUGACAGACCUUAGCAAAGGUGUAACCCAGGAGCCCAAGGAGAGCCUUGCAAGCUAACCCCACACUGACCCUCGCACAGGACUCACCUUCCUUCCGCAGGAACCAAAGAUUUUCACUGCAGCAGGAACAUUUUCCCCUCUUGUAGAUUUGUUUGUUUAUUUGUUUGACUCAGCAUCUUUCUUAAAAGGAAAAUGACCCUUUUAAAUUCUGGAAGCCCCACAGUGAAGGGCGCUUUCUAGGAAGGCUGUCUGUCUGUGCACUUGGUGUGUCCCAAGGACCUCCACACCUUGGGUCACUGUCCCAGAGCUCCGGUGUCUGGCUGACAGGGGCUGGGUUCCUAGGGCUGCUGUUAUAACCAGGCCUCUCUGGAGGGACAAGAAGAGCACCCAUCACUCUUACUUUCUGCUGGCUUGUAGGCAGACAAUUCCUUUGUUAAUUUUCCUAAGUCUUGGCAGGACUUCAUCUUCCAUUUUUUUUCUCACACCAUGUUUUUCAUUUUUUUUUUGUUUUUGUGUUCUCUAGAAAAAAAAAUAUAUAAAUUUAUAAAUCCUAAAAAAGUUGCAUUUCAUACACUAACAAUGAGCAAUCUAAAAGGAAACAAGAAAUUAAGAAAACAAUUCUAUUUACAGUUACAACAAAGAGAAUAAAAUACUUGAGCAUAAAUUAAAUUGAGGAUAUGAGAGACUUAUACACUAGAAACUAUAAAAGAUUAUUGAAAUUAAAGAACACAUAAAUAAAUGGAAAAACGUCCCAUGUUCAUAAAUUGAAGGAUUUAAUACGGGUAAGAUUUCAAUAUUGCCAAAAGUGAUCUACAAAUUAAAUGUAAUUGUUAUCAAAACCUCAACAUUUUUAUUAGUUAGUUAUCGUUAUACAUAAUAUUGGGAUCCAUAUUACUAUAAUCAUAUGAGACUGGAAUAUAAUUUGCUCCAAUUCCAUCCUCCAUACUUCUCCUUUCCCUCCCCUCCUACCAUUCCCAAUCAUUACCCUUUACUGGCAUUUAAUUUAUUUACAAUUCUUUUUAAAUUAAUGGUUUAUAGAUUACACAUAAGGGUGAAACUCACUGUGGUGUAUUCACAUAUGCACAUAGCAUAGUUUGGUCAACUACAUUCCACAGUUCCUCCCUUUUCCCAUCCCUCCUUCUCUACUCCAGUGCCUUCCUGUAAUCCCACCCUACACUCCACUGAUCUCUUUUCUAUUUUCAUGGGAUCCCCCUUCCCUCUUUUUUUCCUUAUUUUGGUCUAGCUUCUGCAUAUGAGAGAAAAUAUUUAACUCUUUAUUAACUGAGUUGGAAUUAUUUCAUUUAGCACUAUGCUUUUAAGUUCCAUCCAUUUACCAGCAAAUGCCAUAAUUUCUUUCUUCUUAAUGGCUGAGUAAAACUCCAUUGUGUAUAUGCUACAUUUUCUGUAUCCAUUGCUCUGUCAACGGGCACCUGGGCUGUUUCCAUAAUUUGGCUAUUAUGAGUUGUGUUGCUGUAAACAUUGAUGUGGCUGUAUCAAUAUAGUAUGCUCAUUUUAUUUCUUAUCAUAAAUACUCAGGAGUGGGAUAGCUGGGUUACAUGUGAAAAUGGUAUGGUAGUUCCUUAAACAAUUGAGCAGAACUAUCUGUCAUAUGACCCAGCAAUUUGUUUCUCCAAAAUACCUCUAGAGAAUUAAAAACAUGAGCUCAAACAGAUGCUUGUUCCUCCAUGUUUACAGCAGUGAAAUGACAUAUGUUUCCACUGAUGGAUAAAGAGAUAAAAUGUGUUAUAUCUGGAUAGUGAAAUAUUCUUCCACCUUAAAAUGGAAAGAAAUUUCAAUGCAUACUACAACAUGGAUGAGCCUAUGAAAAAUGCCAAGUGAAAUAAUCCAGUAACAAAAGAGAAAUGAGGUAUCUAGAAUAGUCAAAUGCAAAGAUAGAAAGUAGAAUUGUAGGAGGAAGGGGAAUGAGAUUAUUGUUGUAUGGGUUCACUGAACUUAAUUAUCAGUGAGCUGCACACAAAAAUGGUUAGAAGGAUAUGUUUUAUUAAGUAUUUUUUUUACCAAAACAAAAAAAAUUACCCAGAAUACAAUAAAAGGAGACAAGACAAUAGAAAAUAUAAAAGCCAAGUUAAACUAUAUGGAGAGAAUUAAAUGACUAGCUUUCUCACAGAAUAAUUCAUGAUUAUUUGUGACCUGAAUCUUUGAGGCUGACAUCUGGAAAUUAUAUUCUCCAUACUCGUUGCAAUACUGGCUUCAGAAACUAGAGGAUAGGAGAAAGGAAUAUACCAGGAUAUUUCUCCUCUCUCUUCUCUGAGUUUUGUGGUAGUGUCUCCAUCAAUGACUGUGUGUCCUCUAUCAUACCUCUUCUUAUAGGAUAGAAACAUAGUUUUUUUAGAUACCCUCCACUUCUAAGUUCUGGUAUGGCUAUUUUCUCAUUGUAUCCCUAUAGUCCUAGGAAAGCUAAUAGUUUUUUUCUAUUUCUAAAUUUUUUCUUGUCUCAUUAUCUCCUAUUUGGUUUUUAGAUGCACCAAAAUGUUUGUAACUAGUUCCCUGUAUUGAAUUCCUUUUGUCAAAUUGCCUGGCUUUAACUCUCUUUUCCUGAAUGCCUAAGUCAAGCACACAUCUCAUCUAAGUGUAAGAGGAGAGAGACUAGAGAAUGGAAAAAAAAGCCAUCAGUGAUGGCUGAGUUUUCCCAAAGAAGUUUGAGGUAUAAACACUCAAAUUUAGGAAGCUCAAAUAGUAUUAUUAAAAGGAAAUCCCUGGGGCGGGGGUGGGGAGUAAACCAUCAGAAUGAAACAUGAAGAUGAGGAGCUCUUAACACCAACUCACCAACAGGGGAAAAAAACCCCAGAAAUUAGUAACCAUAGGUGAUUUAUGAGAGAUACACAUAAAACCUACAGAGGAAUAUUGGAAAUAAAAUAAGAGGCUAGGAGAAACGGAGAUACCAGGGUGUUAGUAUAUUAGUAUUUACCAUAGAAAUACUAAUGAAAGAAAGUGGUGUGUCUAGAUUAAUAUUAGACAAGAUAUGUUUUAAGACAAAUAUUUAUUAGCAGUAAAAUGGGUCACUAUAUGCAAUGAAGACUUAAUCCACCAAAAAAAUGUAAAAGUCCAAAACUGUUGCAAAUAUAUAUAAAAUAUGUAAAAUUAAAAAUGAAAGAAAAGGUAAAGUGGAGAAAUUCAGUUUUAAUGGAAAUGUUUAGUGUACUUCCUCAGUGGUGUCAUUCAGGUGGUGGCAUGGAUACUGCAGGCCAAAUUUGUUGUGAUAAUCAGGAGCAGAAAGAUUUGAAAAACUUGCAGUUUGGCCAGAAAAUUGGGAAGAAAACUGGGACUAAGAAGGUGUGGUUGUUAAAGGGAAUAUGGUUGUUAAACAGAAUACACACCAAAAAAAAAAAAAAAAAAAGAAGCUAAUUACUUCACCCAGAAACAGUUAGAAAGAUGGCUUGAGGGCAUCUCAUGCUUAAGGGGUAAAAGUAGAAAUUUCUUUGAGAAGACACAAUGGGGGAGCCUGGCUUACACAGGGGGUACCUGGAAAGUUGUUAUGCCUUGCUCAGCCACCCAUGCACUCAAAGACUUUUGCAGCCAUGGUCCCAGGAGGCUUCACUACUGCUCCAGAUGGUGAUAGACCUUGGUGUCAAUCAUGUGGCCCUGGCUCUGCAGGAAUGUAGGAUGCUGAAGUUAGGAGGUCAUGGAAGCUUUCACUGAGAUUUCAAAGGAAGACAUUACAGGCCAGGCAAAGUACAGCAAAGACAGAGUCUUUAUGGGUCACCACUGCAAGGGCAAUGUAAGAAGAUGUGAGAAGGAAAACAAAGCUGCAUUAGAGACUCCCAAGAUUAAGAUAUGCCAGUAACAUGGAACAUCUGCCUAGGAAAGCUGAGAAAAUCCAGCAGACACAAGCCAAGUGAGAGGCUAUGUAGGCUGCAACCAGCAAAGCCAUAGGGGCCGAGCUAUGCAAGCCAUUUGGAGAGAACAUCGUGGUGUAAUGUGCUCCAGAUGCUGGACUUGGAGCUAUAGGACUUGAACUAGCAAUCCUCCGGUCUCGGGAGAUUAUCAUUCCAGAGAAAUUUUCUCCAUCUUUAAAAAGUAGCAUUAUAGAAAAUGUAAAAUUUGAAAAAAAAACUUUUAAAUUAUUAGAUCAAUAUUUUAAGUGCUAGUAUAAAAGUAGGAGUAAAUGUUAUAGCUGUAAAAUGGAAUAAUAAUGCAUGAGCAAGCAAAUUUUUAGAGUUGAUCCCUAAGAUGAUCCCUAAGUAUCCCCUAAGUUUUUUCAGGAAGUGCUUUGCAAAUUGUAAUAUAGGAUUUUUUUCCUCCACAUUUUAAAGGAUGAAGUUUGGCUUAUAGUUUAGACCACAUAAUUAGCUGUUCAAUUUAGUAAGGGAUAUUUCCAGAAUUAAAAAAAAAUAUAUACAAAUGCAGAUGUCUGAAGGAACAAGGGAGGUGAAACACAUGAGUGAAACAGGUCGUGAUGAAAUAAUUCAGGGAGUAGAAGCCUUGUGGCAAAGUGGAGUGAGUAUGCCUCAUGAAAAUGGGCAACCCAUUUUUCAGGAAAAGCUUAGACUCUGGGAAUUUGUGCACAUUUCACUGAUUUGAAAAUGUUGAUAAGUAAACUGAUUCUCAUGUAAGCAUGUUUUAAGUUCAAAUUCAGCUUUUAAAGUAACUUAUGAUUUUUACAGGAGACUUUGUAUUCUUAUCAAAUAAUGUCCAAAAAACAAACAUUUAUGUUUGAUUAACCUCAGAUAUAAGAACAAUUGAUAAAGACAAUGGCCAGAAUUGUUCUGUUGGUUUACUGUAUUCUAGGAACACAGUGUGCUUAUAGUUCUGUAUUCAUUAUGCCAUUGAUACUUAUAAGAAAUUUUUAAGGAAAGUUAUUAUUGUAACCCAUAAUUUCAGAAAGAAGACAGAGGGUUGAAAAGUACUUAAGGUCCUAAUACUCUAAAUGAGUCAAGACACAAACCAGGUCAAAGUCCACAGUAAAUAUUAGGUGUUUAGUAAUAGAUGAUUGCAGUUUAGUUUAAAAGAGCAAUUUUUCCCAUUCUGAGGUUCCUGAUUCCCUAUCUGUCUCCAAAUUGAUAAAUAGUCUUUUGUGACUUAGUUUAAAAGCCUAAUAGAAAACUAUUUCCUAUUAUCAGGGAAAAGAGAGUUUGCUAGAAUCAUAUUUCAGAUUAUCAAAUCAUAUAAACUAAUUAAGGGGUCAUUGUAAGAAGAAAAGUUAGAAAAUACAAUGAAAAUUAUUUUUAAUAUUUAUUUUUAGUUAUAGUUCGACACAAUAUCUUUAUUUUAUUUAUUUAUUUUUAUAUGAUGCUGAGGAUCCAACCCAGAGCCUCACAUGUGCUAGGUUAGCACUCAACCACUAAGUCACAACACCAGCUCCAAUGCAGAAAUUAUUAAAAUGACAAAUAUUUUACAUUAAACCUUUAUAUGUUACACAAAGUACUACAUAUCCUAAAGUAUAUUUAAGCUUUAAAAUAUUUGUCUGACAAAACUAUUAGCAAUUUAUGGACCUUCAAAUAUUUUAGAUUUAAUAGAUAAAAGAUAUUUUUCAAAGAAUGUAAGCACCAAACUAUUAUGCUGAAAAGACAGUUGAAAAAGGAAGUGCAGGAUGAUGCUAUAACAUUUUGUGAUGUGACCAAAAUCUCUUUCAAUAGAUAUGUGUACUAUAGUCAUAUUAAAAAUCAUCAAAUUGAAUCUCUUACAUUGCAUUUUUGUCCUCAAGAAUAAUAAUAAAAAGGGACCAAGAAAGAUGAGAGUAAUUUUUCACAAGCUAGACAUCACAUAAAUAUAUUCAUAAAGAAUAUACAUUGAAAGCUUAUACAUUAUUAAAUCUUCUCAUUUAAAAAAAAACUAUCUUUAAUAAUGUAUUAAAAAUCAAUACAGCAUGAACAACAUACACCCGCAUUCAUCUGUCAAAACUCAGCACUUAGGCUCUGCCAAAUCCAUUUUCAGAAAAUGCGUGAACUUUAUCAACCCACUUUUAGCAAAGCUUGAAAAUAUAAUGUUCAGAUACCAAAACACAGAAUACAUGUCUAAGGCUGCAGCUGGAGUCCUGGGACUGUAACACACAACACACACACACAACACACACACACACACACACACACACACGCCUUUAUAAGGAUCUGAAUUUAAACACUUUAGGCAAGAACAACAAGACUGUAACUCAUUCUUCAGGUUUAGCAUUUUUACACAAGGAACACAAAGCUCCUAAUUCGCCUAAAAUAACUUUAAAGGUACUGGACUAAUAUGAGUUACAAAAAUUCUUGAGAGUUUGGACUCCUGGACAAUCAGUUAAUUCACCAAACUACAGAAACCACAAGAAAAACCCAUGAAAAUACUUUGGAUUUUCACACACACAUAUGCCCUUUUUUAAAGUUAGUGUCAUUAAAACAGCUAUGACAAGGUUUACAAGCCCGUUUCCAUCCUAAAAAUAACAACUGCUUUUAAAAAUUCUCAAAGGGGGAUUUUAGCAAGGUGCGAAUACAAAGUCCUGGAGAAGAGAAUAGGGCAGCUGGUGAGCAAGCUGAGAUGGACACCAUUUCAGGCAAGAUUUCUCUAUUUCUUUAUAAGGAUCGCACUUCUCUGUUUUCUCUAUUCUUAAAAAGAAAAUUCCUUUAUAGAUGCUUUGGUGAGACAGGGACCUCAGCUCCUAGAGAAAUCACCUUUCAAUACAAUUUGGGGACUCUGGAUGAGCUGUAGGCUGCUGCGCAUGCCACAGGUCCUCACCAAGCAGACCAGGCCAGGGGCGCAUUAGCUCUCCAGUUCACCCCUCCAGUCCCACUCAAUUGCUCCCUCUUAUUCUCUUCUUAAAGUCAGCUCUCAUAGCCCUCUGUAUCCCCAAAGGUUCUUGGCAUCUAUGUGGGCGGCUAGGCGUCCUCCUGCUCUCUGAGCCCGGGUUCCUGCCACAAGUCCCCAGCUUCUGAGGUUCAGGGCCACUUCCCUGCCACCGCCCCCGCGGGUCCCAGGCGCUGCCCCAACCCUUACCUGGGCAGGAAGCUGGGCACUCCUUAGUCCCUACUGCUCGCUGGUGGCAGGCGCUCCUUGGAGGCAGGCGGCUGGGUGGCCCAAAGCGUUGUUGCCUUGGUAGAAAUGGGACCUGGCCGCCAGCCGGGGGCGGGGCGGAGGUGGAUGGGAAGAGUGGAUAGGACUCACCUAAGUGAAAGGCGCCUGGUAGGUCCCUCGACCACCACCCUAUCCCGUGGGAGUUCUUUUCUUCCUCCUACAGCCCACGCCACCGCCCCUGGUUAACAGCCACUAGCGGUGGCUCCUCGCAGGACCCUGGGCUGGACAAAAAGGGGCUUCGAGGCCCCUCUGACUUGGUGUUGGAAGCAAGGGAGACAGCAUCAACCCUGGAGCGCCCUGGUUUGCAGGAUCGCCCAUAGAAGUCUCUUCCUGCUCUGAAUGUUGUCCAAACCCCGAGGAAUUUCCCUCAAAUACGUGAGUGCUGGGAUCACGAGGAUGCAAUCUUCUGGCAGGCAAGCUCUGAGCCUGGUAAAGAACCUUGGUUUCAUUCCUGAGAGAGCAAGUGGCAAAUAAGAUCGCCCCAGGCAUCAGUUCACUUUGACAGCCUGCUAAGGAAGCUAGCUAGGGCCUGUUAAUCACCAGCCCUCUCUGGCCUGCUGAAGUCCAAUGGGCUGGACAAACUGGGAUACCCGGUGGGAGGAGGGUGCAGGGAUGAGGUACAAACUGGCUAGAUUCCAUGAAAAGCAUCAAGGAACAUUUUGGGUUAUGCCUUUUUCCCUUCACAAGGCAAAGAUAACAAUCAAUAUGUUCUUUGAUUCUGUUAAUAAUCUAAAUGGAUCUGUGGAUUAUAUCAAAAGAGAAUUAUAAAUGAGACCAAAAGAGAUCAUCUAGUCGGAGUCUGCAUCUGUCUUAAAUGAGAUGGGGGGAAUAUAUAU
rnacentral:lncRNA from 1 species